CGCGCCCCCCGAGGGCCUGCGCAGGCCCGGGCCGACCCCCGCGGACAGCACGGGCUCGGGGGCGCUUCUUGCCCCGGGGCCGGGCACCGAGGUGGAGGAAGAUGCCGGGUCCUGUGAGUUUGGAGGUCUCUGUCAAAUUUGGAAGGAUUGUGCCUUGCACUGCUGCAAUAAAAGUCACAAACCCAGAGACAUGAACUCCCCUGGCCUAAACCUGGCUUUGCUGGCAGAACCCAGCUUUAAUAGGUUUAAUAAACCUAUUAGUAGGUUUAUUUAGUAGGUUUAAUAAACUUACAUGAGGAUUAGUACUUCUAAACAUGAUAUGCAGCAAAACUGCAAGCAGAGAUGCCUUUUAUUCCUAAAUCACCAAGCCCCAAUGACGUGAAACAUUCAGAAAAUCUAAGGCUGAAGCACAGAGAUACCCAUUAAAGGAGAGCUUAUAUAAUCUCAAUUUAAUUCUUCUUCUAUUGCCGUGAGUUUAGAUGUGGAAUAACGUGAGUGGUUCAGGCCAAUAUGAAAAAUGAAAUCUAAGCCUCCACACCCAUCUUCAAGGUGGAUGGAGAGUCAUAUUCUUUAGUGCCAGCAGAUGGCAUCCAUACACUUUGGGAUCCCUGCUUCACACUUCCCACUGCAGCAACGCAACAUUUUCCUUUCAUUGGAGGAGCCCGAGUCUCUCACACGAGAAUAUCUCCCAAACUGUUUCUCCGCAUACCUCUGCUGAAAAAGGAUUACCUGGCAAACUGAGCAGAGAAAAGGUGCACAUGAAGAUCUGAGAUGUUCCUUCCUUCAGUGCUACAGCUAAUAAAGAUGCAGCAGAGAGCAACAUGUUAGAAAAGCUGAGUUUGAACUUCCUGCUGAUGGUGGUGCUGUAGGAGUGUUACAGCAUUAUGGUAGUUCCUGAAUUUUGG